AUUGAACGCUGGCGGCAUGCCUAACACAUGCAAGUCGAGCGUGCGGCGGACGGGUGAGUAAUGUCUGGGAAACUGCCUGUUGCCUGGGGAUCACUACUGGAUACGGUAUCUAAUACCGCAUUCCAUCCGAUUUGCCCAGUUGGGAUUAGCUGGUAGGUGGGGUAACGGCUCACCUAGGCGACGAUCCCUAGCUGGGCUGAGAGGUUGACCAGCCACACUGGAACUGAGACACGGUCCAGACUCCUACGGGAGGCAGCAGUGGGGAAUAUUGCACAAUGGGCGCAAGCCUGAUGCAGCCAUGCCGCGUGUGGGAAGAAGGCCUUCGGGUUGUAAAGCACUGUCAGCUGGGAGGCGUUACCCGCAGAAGAAGCAACGGCUAACUCCGUGCCAGCAGCCGCGGUAAUUC
rnacentral:rRNA from 1 species